rnacentral:snoRNA from 1 species
GGUGUGCCUAUGAUGAAUGUUUCAACCUGUGUCAGGAUUUGAACCACUGGGCAUGUAAAUCUCACUAGGUUUUUUCUGAGGCAUGUU